rnacentral:rRNA from 1 species
UACGUAGGGUCCGAGCGUUGUCCGGAAUUACUGGGCGUAAAGAGCUCGUAGGCGGUUUGUCGCGUCUGCUGUGAAAUCCCGAGGCUCAACCUCGGGCCUGCAGUGGGUACGGGCAGACUGGAGUGCGGUAGGGGAGAAUGGAAUUCCUGGUGUAGCGGUGAAAUGCGUAGAUAUCAGGAGGAACACCGAUGGCGAAGGCAGGUCUCUGGGCUGAAACUGACGCUCAUGCACGAAAGCGUGGGAAGCAAACAGG